ACCCUGUGAACUGAGAUUGUGAUGGCAGCUCACCAAAUGCUAUCAGUUCAACCUGCAUUUAAGACUUAAUCUGGCUUUGAGUUGGAGUGCUGCUUUAAGGUGACUUGGAGACAGGUGGCUUUAGAGGACAUCUGACCCUUCUGGCAGGGUGAGGACAGAGAAAGACUUUAUUUUUGGACAGUUAUGGAAUUGGCAUCCAAGGGAAAUCUGCUCUCGGAAUGAAGUGAUGCUCAUUCAGACCUGCAGUUCAUCUGAAUGUAUGUGGAGCUUGGAAUAAGUUGAUCAGUAGGCAGCCACUCUGAAACCCAUUACUACUUGUUUCUCAGGCACAUCAGUGAUGACAACUGACUUGCUAACAGAAACCCAUGCUGACUACUCCUAACCAUCUUCUUGUCCUGUCCUUGUCUUGAAAUGACUUCCAGGAGGAUUUGCUGCAUCACCUUUCCAGGGAUUGAGAUAUGAAAUAAAAUGAGGAUUCACAACUUGACUGCAGAAUUACAAGCAGAUGAGAGUCAGCAAUCUGAUCCCUGCUGCAUGGCCUAGAUCCUCCACUGGGAAUGCAAGAAAAAUACUGACUCUGGAGCAUGAGUUGAGCACACCGAUGAGAAAAGGUAAUUCUCUAAUGGACCGAUGAAAGCCAACGAUGACAAGUUGUGGUCAACAGUCCCUGAAUGUGCUGAUGGUUCUGCUUUCAUUACUCUUGUCAGCAGUGUUGUCCGCACAUUUUCGGGUCUGCGAGCCAUAUACGGACUACAAAGGUCGCUACCACUUUGGUUUUCACUGUCCCCGUCUUUCUGACAAUAAAUCUUACAUCUUUUGCUGUCACCAUAACAACACAGUAUUUAAAUACUGCUGCAAUGAGACAGAAUUUCAGACUGUUAUGCAGAUGAACUUAACAGGGAACGCAGAUGGAUACAUGCAUAACAACUACAGUGCGCUGUUAGGAGUGUGGAUCUAUGGCUUUUUUGUGGUGAUCUUGCUGGUACUGGACCUUUUAUAUUACUCUUCAAUGAACUAUGAUAUUUGCAAAUUUUACCUGGCACGGUGGGGAAUCCAGGGCAAGUGGAUGACACAGGGACAGAGCCGAUGGAUUAACCGUGCUCAGGAUCCAAGCCAAGUACAGACACAGCCUCAGCCAGAGACACAGCCUCAGCCAGAGACACAGCCUCAAACAUCACAGACAGUACAUACUUUAAAAGGAGAUGCUUUAAGCCCACCCCUGAUGUCUUUUCAGAGUACAUCUGCCUGCACGCAGAGGCGAGGUCUGCUCUGGAUGUGAUCUUAUAUGUUAUGCUACAUGACUCGUGGUUUCGGAAACCUGCUAGUUCUCCAGAAUCAGGAAAAGUAUCAGCCCAGCAGGAAAAUUAUAUUGAUGUGCCUCAAGAUGGGAGAGGUAAGAUCAGACUUCAAGGAGCAGCUUUCAAGAAAAUCAACUAAAUGACAAGAGCUGAAACAAUGAUGUAUAAGCAGGAGAGAGAAAGACUACAAGAGGGUAAUUGAGCAAGUCACCUGAAGAGAAACAUCAUUCCGAUAACUUCUACAGGCAAACAAUAUAGAAAGAAUCUUCAGAAGAAAGUAGUCUGUAAGCAAUAUUUUAAUUCUAGACCGACAAUAUUAUCUCUGAAAGGAAGCAUCAUAUUUGAGGAAAUGCUCAAUAGGAAGAAAACUAAGUUGCUCUGGCAAAUCCACACAAAGGUGGAAAAAGAUCACAAGACAAACCUUUGGUAGAUAACUUUUCUUUGCCUCCCCAUCCAUCUAUUGCCAUUUGAGCCUAAUCUAAGUGUCAGAAUACUGAAUGUGAGUUUUUCCAAAGUUCUCUGGUGAAUAUUUUGUCACAAUAGGGUAGAUGCUGGCAAUCCCCGUCACUGUUAACUAUAUUGUCAUAUGCAUUAGAAGCUAAGCGAAGCCCUUUCAUCGAGUCAAACUGCAGGGUAGCAAUUAUUUCAACCUUAAUACACAUUUUAAGAUCAUUGGCAAUGAUAAUGCUAAGAUAACAAACAUCUGAGCACAUCUUGGCUUCAGUUUCACAUACCCUCCUGAAGAGAGGAGCUUUACUAAGAAGAAACAGAGACACCUCAUUCCACCCGCGUACUCCUUGAAGCUGAAGGAGAAACAGAAGAAAAUCAACAAACUAUAUAUUUCAAAAGCAAUAAUACCAUUGUCCCUCUGCUUUACAAGGCAAUAAUCCAAUUCCCUCAGCCACCAACUGGCUUCAGAGUUUACCCCUCACAAAUCUAAGAAUUCAUUUGUAAGCCAGAAGGGCAAUGAUGUGGAGUACUUGGUCAAUAGGGUGCAAUAGCUUGACUUAACUUUCCACAGGACAGGUUUAUUUUAAAAUCAUAGAGUAUCAAUUAUAUGAGCAGAUCCUGUGAAAUUCAAUUAUUUAAGAUACAUACAUGGAGAACCUGGCAAUGAAAACUAAACAAAGGAGUUCAUCUAGAAAUUGUAACACAAAGCCAUUAUAAUGCCAAAUUAAUCCUUCAUGCCUAAUAUUUUGUCCUGCAAAUCUGAAUAACUUCAAAAUAACCUUAUAUUUUACUGUAUAACAACAUGAGGAACACCUUGUCAAUGAACAAUCAAGUUUUCCUUUUGUACCUCUUUGAUUUGAGUGAAAUUUAGUCUUCUGUUGAACUCAAAAGGGAUACAGUGAUUUGACCUAAUUCACGGCUACCAGAGCUCAUGAUGGUACGUGACUAAAGACACGCAGGAAUAGAUAGUGCAGGGGACCCACCAAGGCUGGAUACCAUAGGAGUGCCCCGUCUUCAAAGAAGGCCCAAGCUGAGUAGGAUACCAAUAUGCACAUGCCUCUUUUCUUUGCAAACUAACUAGUAAAAAAUGGUAUCACUGAGUAAGGGCAGGCAACAGCUAAUAAGGCCACAGGUGGGAGUGCCGCCCUGCAGGCAUUAGACUCCAUCCCAUCCUAGGUAAGCUUAAGGCCUGGCCCAUUCUCACUCUUUACAGAAGCUCCUGCGUACACCCCUCUGCACACAAUGCCAUCCAUACCUCUGCCAACGUCACUUCUUCUCCACACUUCCACAUCGACUCCAAGAUCCGCAACCCCUGCAGACACCCAACAAAGUACAUAUCUACAGUCAUCGGUCUUUCUUUGGCGCUCUGCAGCAACUGUUUGCUCCUUUUACCUUCUGCCGGCACCUACUUUCAUUGUGAGGUGAUGACCGCCACAGAAAGCUUUGUAAAAAGCUUAUGUUCAUGAAGGAAUUUGUAUUAGAUACUGGUUUGUGUGACUUACUGUAUUUUGUAAGGGUUUUUUUCCCUUUGGGAAUUGUGCGUUAUUAAUGAGCAGUUUUAUGCUUUACUUCUAGUACAUGUAUACCUUGUAAUUGAUGUGCUCUUUGUUUGUUUGUUUUCUUUUAUCCUCUAUACAGAGCCAGUUAAUAUAAGGUAGAUACUCGCUGGCUGAAAUUCUGAUUUUGCCUACCGAUUAAUUUAUGGAUAAAUCCAUGUCAUUGCUGAUGAACAAUUGUUCAUCGAUUGUGUUGUUAUAAUCAUCUGAUAGCCUCUCUAGUUUAGCAGAAUAUAAGAUCUUGAAUAAGACUAAUGCUCGUUGGGCCUUAAGCUAAAGGGAAAUAGUGCACCACUUGUGUUUCCCUACCACCAUCGCUAUCGGCCCUUCUCCCUUUGCUUUUGGGACAUUGUAGAAGAGCACUGGCUAGACAAACAGUCACCUGAACAUCUCAACCAUCUAUGUAGCUGUGCUCUGAUAUCCCUCUGCAUUUACAUGAUCGAAAUUAUGGUGAACCAGAUAAACUGCAAUGAAUUCUUCAGUUAUUUCUGCAGAAAGAGACUGGUUCAAACACAAUCUUUCUCUAAAAAAAAAAAAGACCUGGACUAAAAUAGAUAUCUUUUCCUCUAUGUCCAUCCUGAUAUGGUUGGAAAAAUAUGGGAUCUAAAAUUACCUUUUGCAGAAGUGUAUAAUGCCAUUAUACACCCUAUUUAACAAUGGCAGCUGUCUGUCUUGGUGGCUAUUAAUGACCUUCGUGCUCCAGAAGUCUCCUUCCUUGUCCAACUCAUUUUCUGUCUUCAGUUUUACUGAGAACUGAGUGUCCAACUUCUUAAUAAUUGCUGUGUAUAACGUAGGACAUAAAAAGAUAAGUUAUAAAGCUUGUGCAGGACUUGGUGUUGUAAUUAACCAUCUUUUGUGCCUGGUUAUCGAUCUUACGAAAACAGAGUGAAAACAAUCUGGCCUCUUAAUGUGUACUGCAGCAUAUUGUAGCAGCUAUUUUAGAUAACUGUUUUUAAUAGUUUUAUUAUGGCUGUAAUUUCUAUAUGAGGACUGUCCACUUGAAGAAGCGAUGAAGUAACAUGUCAAAGUGAUUUUUAAAGUCAGUUCUAUUUUGGCACGUGCGAUGGUGUAUGAAAAGUAAAGCAACAAAAACAGAACCUCACCCGCUCGCCAGGAAAAAACAUCUUUUCUCAGCCUUGAAAAUUCUCUUGUAUAAGACAGGCAUUUCUUCUAGUCCUCCUUUUACAUAAAUAGUAAAUCACUAAGAAGAUAAUAUAUACAGUACAAUAGUCUAUUUUAAUAGUCAGCAGUCAAAUUUUAGGCUAAUUAAGCUAACUAGAAAUUGUAGGGUUGCAGUGAUUUCUCCCUCUUUAUUAAUACAUUGACAAUAAUAGUGUUUACAUAACACUCAGUGUUUGAAAACAAUAUGUGCCAGUGUCCAGUGAUUUGCUAAUCUAGUUUUUGAUCUAAUCCUGUCCUAUUUUUUGCAGCAUUCUCUAACAUCAUAUUAUGAAUCAUGUUGUCUUUCUAAAGUGAUUGCCAAGUAAACCAAAAACGUGUUUUACACUGCUAUUGCACUGCUCUUGUCUUUAUAUACAGUAGUUUUUAUAAAGAUGUCCUUAGGUUUUAAUAAAUGAGUGUAACGUAAACUAAUCUCUGUAAUAAAACUUGCU